AACCUAGCACACCUGCGGUGUGUACCUGCGGAGGGAUCAUUACCGAGUUAUCACGCUCAAACCCACUGUGAACCUGAAAUCGUUGCUUCGGCGGGCGCCUCCCCCCGGGAGAGCCCGCCGGAGGUCUACCACACUAGUCUCUACGGCGGCUUUGCCGCACCUUGUCCUCUGAAUUAAGCUUCUAAAAAAGUCAAAACUUUCAGCAAUGGAUCU
rnacentral:misc_RNA from 1 species